UUUCUCCAUCCUAGUAAUCAAAUUUGAGCAAAAUCAAAUGGGGCUUUCUAUGAAAGUACCUUUUGUUGAUCUGAACGAGCUGGUAAUUUACAAAAUACCCUUCCUUUGUGAGGAAGGCUAAAGAAAAAAAGAAUCAGUAGCUUUUAAAGCUGGGCCUUAGUGGGACUCUAAAUGCAAUGAAAGCAGUCUGUGUUGAGAGACUGAAAUGCAUUUCAAAGCCAGGCCUGAUUCGGGGUACAAGGAAGAACAGACCUAUGUGCAUUUUGUAGGAAGAAAACUGUGAAUGGAAAAAGGAGAAGGGGAGAGAAACGGGGGAAAUCUGGAUAAUACAUUAAAGUAACCAUAAUUUUGGAGAUGCAUUCAUCUUAUUGAAAAUAUAUUUCCUCAUGGUUGUGAUUCCUCUUCACUCUUUUGAAUUUGGAAGGAUGGCAUACACAUCUGAAAAAUACCACUACUUCCUUCAUUGGACUGCAAGGUAUUUCUGUUUGGAAAAGUAAUGGAGUCCAGUCAACUUCAUUGAUCGCCAAGGACUGUCAAAAUUAUAAAACUUGCUGUGGAGCUCUGACAUGCCAGAAGCCGCUAGAAAAAGAAGUUUGACAUUCAGAAACUUAUCAAGAGGUUCUACUCUUUGGAUAGAGACCAAAAUCAUACUUUGAAAAAGCCUGACAGGUUUCUUCGGAAAAGUGGCCAUCCAUGGAAUGAAUGAAAUGUUCUCUUUCUAUUCCAGGGAUUGCAGUGGCAAAGCUAGGCUAGGUCUUGGAGGCUGGUGUAAGGCGAUGUGGGUGAAGGCAGGAGGCUGAUGGAAAGACUGGGGGGAAGAAAAGCCGAAAUGGAUUCACGGUGCCUUGGAUGAAGGACGAGAGGGGAACUGCAAGCUCCUUCAACUGGUUCUGUCCGGUGAGAAGUGAUCAAGCUUGGGCUGACAAGAGGCUCAGGGAGCCCUCACGUUCUUUCGCUUUUUUACCUGCCAAUCAAACUGCUACAAGACAACACCCUGAUCUGGCAUGGACAUCGCGGGUCCAAGCCUGUAGCCCCAAAUCGGAUAAUCUCUGCAGCUGAUAACAAGCAAAAGAGAAGCCAGGCAACAGCCAUAUUAAAGAAGAAAACAAUCAACUCUGAGCAGGAAGAAAUGUAAUGAAUUGAGUGCUGUCAGAGAUGUCUUCUGUUUGAACAAUCUGCGAUGGGCUGAAUGGCAGGGACUCCCUCAUCCAGUGCAGACACAGCCCAGGCAGACAGAAGGAAACGGAGCAUUAAUCCAACUGCAGUCACCCCAAAGUACAGGCCAUUUGGAUCCAGAAGAGAAACUGGUUCCUUCUACAAGCUCUCCCGUUCUCCCUGGGGCCCUUCACAGCCUCCUUGUCUACGUUGUGGCUGUGCUUUCCCUGAUCCAACUUAGAAAUAAUGUUUCAUUCAAGAUAAGGCUCGUGGCUUAGGAGAUUGUGACCUGGCUUGCAUCAUUCUAAGACUUCUAUCGUCUGUUUUCAAAACCCAAGGAGGACCUCCUUUUCUGUGUGAUAGUUCCUCAUGCUUUGCCAGCCACUGGGUCUUUAAGGAAGCUUGCCAAGAGUUCCCGGCUGGGAAGGACAGUUCGAGUUCAUCAUAGACAAUGAGCUGGCACCACAGUUUAAGUGACUCACCAACCUGGUUGCCCACUUCAAAAUGUCAAGAACCACACUAUCUAAUUGAAAGAACUGUGUUUUAGCAAAGUGUAAUUGGAUCGCCUGGCAAGAUCAUCUCAAACUAUGUCUCUGACCUUGCCUUUCAGUGGCUAUUUUGAGCACAAGAGGAGAAAGGAAAUGAUUCCUGAAUUAUAUCUUGUUUUUAAAAAUUAAGAUUAAUUAAUACUUGGUUUUAUGUUCAUUCCAUUGUAGGAACUUAGUGAUUAUUACAAAACAGUCAAAAUAGGUCAUAGCAAAAUGAACGUUUAAGAUUAGGUUAAAACAUUCCUCUGAAAUUUUAGUAUUCACUUUUGAAGUGUCAAUUACUAUAUUUCUGUAAUUUCUCAUUUUUUUCUUGGCUUAGAGUCAAGAUGAAAAAUGAUAUUUGAAUCAAAGACAUUGUUUUGUUAUAUAGCCACUCCUUUCUAAAAUGCAAAUCCACCCUCCCCUCACCAAUGCUUUAUUCUUUGUGCGCGCACACACACACACACACACACACACACACACACACACACACAGACAUACACAGAACCAGCACCCAAAUGGUAGAGGAGGUCCUUCCAAGACUUCUAGGACCUGGAUCAUGUAAGCAGUAGAUGAGAAAAUGAAGUAAGAGAUAUAGAGUAAUAACAAUAAAAGUCAAUGAUUUCAUUUUACAAAAAAGUCAUUGUGUAGUACUCAGAUAUUUUUAAGAGCAAGUAUUAUUAUGACUAAAGUAUAUUAUACUUCUAAAUUAUUAUGAUUCUCAUCUAAUUUCAAGCCACACAUAGGCGCCAUUUGAAAGCAUUUUGUGUUACAACCUAUCAACAAAAAUCAACUAAUAGUUUUAUAACGUGCAUAGGUUUACCCCAUGGGGAAUUAAAAUUUUUAUCUGCAAGUAUUUCUGUUGUUGUGAGACUUUAGGACAAGACAACAUUUGGUGUUAACAUAGAAGAAUAUUCUAUGGCUUUUUUAGCUUUAAAGUUCAUUACUCUAAAAUAAAGUACACGUGGUAUUUUUUUCUUCCUAGUGUUCUCUUAUUAUAUGUAGAGUAUUUUCGGUUGUUGUUUUUAACGUAUACAUUAUUUUUAUUAAGUCAUUUCAUAAAAGAUAAGAUAUAUACUAAUAGACCCUUGGUUUUCUCCUAAUUUAAUUAUUUCAAGUCAAGCAAAAUUGGGCAAUUUUCUUUCAGGAAAAAAAAAAUAUUGAGCAUGAUUUUGAGGUAAAACUGAUUAUUUACAGCAUCUUUUCUCUAAUAGGCUAACAUUUAUGAUGGAUCUUAUUUCAAAGUUGAUUAUUCUCAAAGAAAAGUGGAGAUAUUAGAAUUUCCGAGUAAAUUGCAUUGUUUUAAAAAGUACUUUAAUGCAUUGUUCACAUUGUUGCCAGCUAUUGACCAAAAAAGAGAAGAAGAAAAAAGAAAUAAAAAAAGCAGUAUCUGCUCCAAACGUCAAGUUUUGCAGUUUGAAAGACUUGUACAUUAUAAUUGUUUUUUUCUUUUUUGGAAAGCAGUAGUAAUUAAUACCAAAGGCAUAGACAAUUUAGGGCCAUAACCUCCCUUCCCCCCUCUCCACCUUUUUUUUUUUUUUUUUUUUUUUUUAACUUUAACCAUGAUAGGCAUCUCUGCAAGGUAGGUUUUAACAUAUUUUUUUCCUAAUUUUUUUCCCUCCAUUCAGUAAGAAGGAUAAGCUUUUAGAGUACCCAGUCACCGUGGUAACUGCCAAAAAAAUUCUCCUGAAGUUUGAAGAGGUCAGCUAGCAGGGUCAACAACCCUGGCCUCUCUCUGAGCUCGGUCUAGCAUGCCCCAGCCUGCGGUUGGAGUGUCAGGCCAGAUCUGACCCUGGGAGGUGGACCAUUCUGGCUCUGAUAUAAAUUUUUCGAGUCAGUUCAUGGCCUGGACUCUCCAGGUGGCCUCCAAAAUCGAUUUUGACCCCCUGACCCUGUCUCACGGAGGCAUAGCAUCCACCCUAAGUAAGGAUUUAGCCAGGAAUGACAGCUUUCCACUGAGUGUUAUUGGGGACAGUAUAAACAGUUUGGAAAGCAAGUAAGGAGGUGUGAGGGCUAGCAAUCAUUAAAAGCACAUUAAAAAACAAUUUUUAAAAAUCUUUAUUAGAGAAAGUUGUAAAUGCAUAUCUGUUACAGAAUUCCUGUGAUUUGUAGAGUUUUCUAGUCAGUUUUGAAUAUAAAUAGGUCACAUAUCUUUAUCUUUUUGCAUACUUUGUUACAAAUAUGCAAAUAAGAUAGGCAUACUUGCUACAAAAUAGGUACAGCAGGAAUGUAAUAUGUUCAGAAAAGGCAAACUGGUUAUUAAAACACAUUAACAGGUAAGGAGUUUCUAAUAUUUUAAAUACUAAAAUUUUACAUGUGUAUUUUGAAGUUUUUAAAAUGGAAAAAUAAAGAACCUUUAAAAAACCCAACAGUGUGGAAUAAAGAUAAACUUGUUGCACUCAAGGUACAUUUCUACUUUGUAAAGCAAGAAGCCAAUACACUCAGUUGGAUAAAAAUGAGAGAAAAAUUGUAAAUAUAGAGAGUUACAGCUUAUAGAGCUGAAGAGGAAUAAAACAAAAAAAAGUGUCUCUGAAUAACUUUAUGUAUUUUCAACAGUUUAAGAUAUCAGAAACUUGGAAAAUAAAUAUGAUAUAUAUAUAAAUCAUCA
rnacentral:lncRNA from 1 species